UGCGGGAUGGAGCAGUCUGGUCUACCUCCGAGGCCUCAUAAGCCUUUGUUUCGUGGGUUCGAAUCCCACUCCCGCAA
rnacentral:tRNA from 1 species